UUUCGCAAUGCCCGAAAGGGUGACGAAGCGACGCCGCGUGUGGGAAGAAGGCCUUCGGGUUGUAAACCACUGUCGGGAGUUAAGAAAUGCAAGGAUAUGAAUAGUGUCUUUGCUUGACUAAGGCUCCGGAGGAAGCCACGGCUAACUCUGUGCCAGCAGCCGCGGUAAUACAGAGGCGGCAAGCGUUGUUCGGAAUUAUUGGGCGUAAAGAGCACGUAGGCGGCUAUGUAAGUCGGUUGUGAAAGCCUUCCGCUCAACGGGAGAACAGCAUCCGAUACUACAUGGCUUGAGUGCGGGAGGGGAGAGUGGAACUUCUGGUGGAGUGGUGAAAUGCGUAGAUAUCAGAAGGAACGCCGGCGGCGAAAGCGGCUCUCUGGCCCAUAACUGACGCUGAGUGUGCGAAAGCUAGGGGAGCAAACGGGAUUAGAUACCCCGGUAGUCCUAGCCGUAAACGAUGGGCACUAAGUAGAGGGGUUUU
rnacentral:rRNA from 1 species